GAGUUUGAUCGUGGCUCAGGAUGAACGCUGGCGGCGUGCCUAAUACAUGCAAGUCGAACGGAAGUAGCAAUACUUUAGUGGCGACCGGGUGCGUAACACGUAGCUGACCUGCCCCUCAGCGGGGGACAACACCGGGAAACUGGUGCUAAUACCGCAUAGUUUGGCAAUCAUUAGAAAGUUGCUAAUAAACUUACGGGGCUGAGGGAGGGGGCUGCGGCCCAUCAGGUAGUUGGUGAGGUAACGGCUCACCAAGCCGACGACGGGUAGGGGACCUGAGAGGGUGGUCCCCCACACUGGGACUGACAACGGCCCAGACUCCUACGGGAGGCAGCAGUAAGGAAUAUUGCGCAAUGGGCGAAAGCCUGACGCAGCAACGCCGCGUGAAGGAUGAAGGCCUUGGGUCGUAAACUUCUUUUGGGACUGACGAGGAAGGACGGUAGGUUCCGAAUAAGUCACGGCUAACUACGUGCCAGCCGCCGCGGU
rnacentral:rRNA from 1 species